rnacentral:sRNA from 1 species
ACAAAUAAUAGAACCAACGAGAAGAAAAUGAGCUAUGAAACAAAGAUAAUUAACUAAGUAGGUGAUUGGUUGGGCUGUAACUGUAAAAUUUUUGCUGUAGAGAUUUUGCUGUAACUGUGUUGACUGUAGCUGUAACUUUUCUUACUGUAAAAUUACUGUUGUAAGUUUUUAACUUGAA